UAAGAAGCAGGAGACCGCUGCAAAAAUGAAACGAAGGCAAUCCGAGGAGCAAGAGACCUACUAAGCAGAAGUUGAAGCACCUUUCGAUUCGAAGAGCAAUCUGCAAAAAUUUAGAACAUAAGUUCAGGGAUAGGAGAAAUCCCAGGUGACUGAAAACAUGAAGCGUGCAGCAGGAGGGAAAUAACUACAACGCACUGAUAAAAUAGAAAUAAACAAAUAAAUUAGUAAAAUGAUGAUAUUGGCUUUUUACUAUGUCCAUCCUAAAUUAGAAACAUGUGCAGGUCGCACUACUAACCAAUUUGUGUAAGCAUGUAUCAUAAUCACAAUUUUAUGAAAUAAGAAUCAUUCUGAAAUGCAAGGAGCAAGCGACCUGUGAUGUAAUGUGGCCAAUCUGAGCAGCAAAAAACCUACACGCUCAGCAUUCUUUCAUCCCUAGCACAACCUGAGAAAUUGCAAAGCAUAAUCUUGUGAGGAUAGAAAUAUUCAGAGAGGGCUGAAAAGAGGGAGUGUGCACCUAGUACGGCUAUAGUUGGUUCCCAGACAUGGAUGUGAGCAGGCAUUCGUGGUCUAUGUGUAUGGCAGAGGGGUUAUAAGCACAACCUUUUCCGCAUUUGCAGGGUAAUGAAGCAGGAGAUAAUGACGACCGUAAAUUUAGUGUUGUGAGGCCGUUUCAUAUGCAUUUGUGGCAUGGAGGUGGAAGAGUUUGCGACAUAAAAGCGGGUAAGACGAAGGAAUAUGAUGGAAUUAAUGCUCAUCUGUGGAGCGGCGGUGACUGGCAGGGGGCCGUUGGGCAUGGCGGUGUAAGUCACCGGCGAUGGCUGGCCAUGAGGACCAUCGAUUGGGGCGUGGCGGCUGAAUCCAUGGUGGCGGCGGCUUGAUCCCGCAUCUCUGGAGAGGUUGCUUAUCGAGGACCGCCGGCGGUGAGGGCGGCAGGGUCAGCAGGGGCGGCUGGCCAGAGGCAAGCAUGGUUGGUGGCGGCUGGCCGGGGAAGGGUAGGUCGUGCACAUCUGCCGGAAGGGAUUGUUGCGGCGGCGGCUGGAUGGAAGGGAUUUUCUUUAGCUAUUCUUGAGGGAAGGGUGUGGGUCGUCCGUAUCCUGAACAAUAGAUGCCUAUGGGCUUGGUGUGGG
rnacentral:lncRNA from 1 species